rnacentral:rRNA from 1 species
CACGUGCUGUCUCGGUCAACACAAACCACACGCGUCCAACCUAAGAAGAAGGUGAGGCCUUUAGACCAGAUAGGACAAAGGUACCGUUUCCUCUACUACGGGAAACACCUUUGGCGACUGCGUGCACAACGAGAGGUCUCUAACGCUUCCGCUGGUCACCAAGAUCACGAUUUCCCAACGUUGGUUUGGAAAGUCUUUACUAUAUAUCUAAGAUCUUGCCUGGCUCCUUGGUACACUUGAGCUGGUGAUGACACACUAAGGGCUCUGUCUCAAGCUCGUCGAUGACCAGCUGGUUCACUCCUACUACAACGCCAGCUACUACCGUCCUAGUCGCAGAACCCUAUGCUGUGGUGCAGCCAGCGAGAACAAGGUGCAGAACUACUGCCACUGUCGGAGUUCAAAGGGUGGUGCGAGACCAGCUAAGAGCUAUUGUUCGAGGGUCUGCCGAGGACCCCUCUGCGACGGGACAAGGGGCGGAUACUGGCCCAGUGGUUGUGGGAAUGGACACAGCACCGAGAGUAUUUCACCAGAGAACCGGUACCAUUUACGUCCUCUC